GUGCUCACGUUGGCAGCAUAUGUACUAAAAUUGGAAUGAUACAGAGAUUAGCAUGGCUCCUGUGCAAGGAUGACACAAAUUACAAAGCAUUCCAUAUAAAA
ensembl:snRNA U6 U6 spliceosomal RNA